UACGAGGGGUGCAAGCGUUGCUCGGAAUUAUUGGGCGUAAAGGGUAGGUAGGUGGUCUCGUUUGUCUGGGGUGAAAGCCUUGAGCUUAACUCAAGAAGUGCCCUAGAAACGGCGAGACUAGAGUCUUGGAGAGGGUCGUGGAAUUCCCGGUGUAGCGGUGAAAUGCGCAGAUAUCAGGAGGAACACCGGUGGCGAAGGCGGGACUCUGGGCCGAUACUGACGCUGAGGAGCGAAAGCGUGGGGAGCAAACAGG
rnacentral:rRNA from 1 species